rnacentral:rRNA from 1 species
CAGAGGUCCCAAGCGUUGUUCGGAUUCACUGGGCGUAAAGGGUGCGUAGGCGGUCAGGUAAGUCUGAAGUGAAAGCUCCAUGCUCAACUUGGAAAAUGCUUCAGAUACUAUCUGACUAGAGAGCCGGAGAGGAGGCUGGAAUUCUCGGUGUAGCAGUGAAAUGCGUAGAUAUCGAGAGGAACACCAGUGGCGAAAGCGAGUCUCUGGACGGCAUCUGACGCUGAGGCACGAAAGCCAAGGUAGCAAACGGGAUUAGAUACCCCGGUAGUCUUGGCUGUAAACGGUGCGCACUUGCUGUGAGUGGAAUUAACCCCGCUCGUGGCGAAGUAAACACGAUAAGUGCGCCGCCUGGGAAGUACGGUCGCAAGAUUA